rnacentral:misc_RNA from 1 species
GCUCCGUUGGUGAACCAGCGGAGGGAUCAUUACAGAGUUUUCACAACUCCCAACCCUUGCGAACCGUACCCAUUCUGUUCUCGUUGCUUCCGGCGGGGGGGACGGGGGGGCCCGAAACGGCCCUCCCUCCCCGCCCGCCCGGGGCGGCGGGCCCUACGAACCUUUACAUCUCAAACACCAGAAACCGUCCGAGAAAACAAACAAACAAAUCAAAACUUUCAACAACGGACCUCUUGCCUCUGGCACCGAUGAAAAACCCAGCAGACCGGAAGAGACAAC